UACGUAGGGUGCGAGCGUUGUCCGGAAUUAUUGGGCGUAAAGGGCUCGUAGGCGGUUUGUCGCGUCGGGAGUGAAAACCCAGGGCUUAACUCUGGGCUUGCUUUCGAUACGGGCAGACUAGAGGUAUGCAGGGGAGAACGGAAUUCCUGGUGUAGCGGUGAAAUGCGCAGAUAACAGGAGGAACACCGGUGGCGAAGGCGGUUCUCUGGGCAUUACCUGACGCUGAGGAGCGAAAGUGUGGGGAGCGAACGGG
rnacentral:rRNA from 1 species